rnacentral:rRNA from 1 species
AGGGCACCACCAGGAGUGGAGCCUGCGGCUUAAUUUGACUCAACACGGGAAAACUCACCCGGCCCGGACACCGUAAGGAUUGACAGACUGAGAGCUCUUUCUUAAUUCGGUGGGUGGUGGUGCAUGGCCGUUCUUAGUUGGUGGAGCGAUUUGUCUGGUUAAUUCCGAUAACGAACGAGACUCUGGCCUAUUAAAUAGACGAUAUAUCUAUCUAGUAUAUCGCGCUUCUUAGAGGGACAAGCGGCGUCCAGCCGCAUGAAAUAGAGCAAUAACAGGUCUGUGAUGCCCUUAGAUGUCCGGGGCUGCACGCGCGCUACACUGAAAGAAUCAGCGUGCGUUUUACCUAGUUCGGAAGAACCGGGUAACCCAAGUAGAUUCUUUCGUGCUUGGGAUAGGGAAUUGCAAUUAUUUCCCUUGAACGAGGAAUUCCCAGUAAAUGCGGGUCAUAAGCUCGCGUUGAUUACGUCCCUGCCCUUUGUACACACCGCCCGUCGCUACCACCGAUUGGAUGACUUAGUG